UGCCGGAGGUUGUGUGUGAAAUCUCAGGCAAUUCAAAAACACCCAGCCUCUGUCUCAGUCCAAGCUAGUAACUGCAGCAGGGCAGACGUGCCCUCUCCUCUGACUGAAGUCAGCCUUUGUGUCGUCCCAGGUAGUUGGAGCCCCCCUUCAUACAUUACGACCCAGGCUCAAGCCCUAAGGAUCAAAGCCUGCAACACUGGAGCUAUCAGCCAUGAGCCCCACCAGGCUGGAUGCAAGAUGAGAAAUGAACCUUAGCGUAAAAUGCCUUAAUAUGCACACAAUCGAAAGGAAUUCCACAGUCUGCCUGCUCGGCUCACCUCCACGAGUUCCUAAAACCCAAACCCAUGCAGUUAUACGCAUGGUUAUUAACAAGUGCUUAGAUCAGUGCCCCUGGGGACAUGCAACUUUAGUGCCAGGUUUGGCAGUGCCCAUCAUAUCCAAGUACUGUGGCACCACCUAACAUAAACCACAAGUAUGUACUUCAUUUGUGAUGUCUCAUCAAGACAAACUAACUGCAUGACUUUGAAUUCACAAAGUUAACCUUAUAGUAAUUAAGUGCAUGAAUUAUUUUAGUAAUAAAUCUUUAACCUUGUUUUUAUGCUCUUACAAUGAUUCAUGACAUGCAUACUCAUGGAAUACUUUAAUUAGAAAUUGCUAUAAAUGCUGCUUUAGAGUAACAACUGAACAUCACCUAAUGAAUUUAAUUACCAGCAGCACUUUAUUCUGUGAUAACAAUUUUUGAAAUUGAUGUAAUAUCAUUUGCAGUAACACUGUCUCGCAGAAACUCUCAUUUUAAGAUUAGUGCAACCAGAGGAACUUUAAUGAGAGAAAAUAACCUAGUCAGUCGAGUUAACUUGCUUGUAGACAUUCGCACCUGAUUCAAGGUGCGACAUAUCAACUUGUCGGGGGAUUUGCAAUGGAAGGAUACCCUUCCCAAUUCAACUAGCCCUCCAAGCUUUGCAGAGGAAAGUACAUUAAAACAUAACUUUUAUUCCUUGAAGGGAAUUUAACAUAAAUCUAAAUGGUUUUAUUCUUUUCAAAAGAAGUAAAGUAACUUUUAAUCGUACUGAUGACUGACAUGAAAAUACUGCCCCUUCUUAAAUAUCUUAUUAUCACUUCCCGGACUACUGGUAAUCUUUUCUCUUGACCUCGUGACUGCCCUGAAACUUCUCUUCCAGGUAAAAAGCUGCUUGGAGACAAAGACCCCACCAGAGGCCCCAGAUGCACCGGUGAUGGGGAUUUACCAAAAGAAAAAGUUGAGGGCCAUUGCCCUGCCAUGUGGCCGACCAAACAAUCAUGAGGUCACAGGAUCGCACCAAUACCCAUUUGUGCGCCCAUAGAAAAUCGGGUGCUGAAAACACUGGAAGAUAAUUCAGCAAAGUCAUAACAGGAACUACCUGACCCGAACCAAACAAGACACACCCUGGCAGCAGAUCCAGCAGCGUUGCUCUUUGACUCCUGCUCCGUCCAAGCCUCAUCCCAAACACGUGGCUGCUGUUCUUGGCUCAGUAAGCUCAGUAUUCUUCCAGUGCUAAGUCCUAGAAUACUAAAUAUGACCCUAAUCAUGCUCCUUAAGUGCUAAACUAACUUUUAAAAUGAAAUUAUUCCAGGCAGCCACUGG